rnacentral:rRNA from 1 species
CUUGACUGUAUCCUGGAAUUGGGUUCGGGCUUUUCUUGCGCAGCCUAGGUGGGAGGCUAUGAAGAUUUCCUUCCGGGGAAGUUGGAGCCAUCAGUGAGAGACCACUCUGGAGAGGCUAGAAUACUAAUGGUGAUCCUUGAAUCAGGACACUUGACAGUUUCAGGCGGGCAGUUUUUCUGGGGCGGAAACCUCAUAAAAGGUAACUGAGGUGCGCAAAGGUUCCCUCAGUCUGGACGGAAAUCAGCCAACGAGUGUAAAGGCAAAAGGGGGCUUGACUGCAAGACCUACAAGUCGAGCAGGAGCGAAAGCUGGCCUUAGUGAUCCGACGGUACCGUGUGGAAGGGCCGUCGCUCAACGAAUAAAAGUUA